rnacentral:rRNA from 1 species
UACAGAGGGGGCAAGCGUUGUUCGGAAUUACUGGGCGUAAAGGGCGUGUAGGCGGCCUUCUAAGUCGAACGUGAAAUCCCUGGGCUCAACCCAGGAACUGCGUCCGAUACUGGAAGGCUUGAAUCCGGGAGAGGGAUGCGGAAUUCCAGGUGUAGCGGUGAAAUGCGUAGAUAUCUGGAGGAACACCGGUGGCGAAGGCGGCAUCCUGGACCGGUAUUGACGCUGAGGCGCGAAAGCCAGGGGAGCAAACGGG